rnacentral:lncRNA from 1 species
AUCUAUUAGGAUUUUUUUAGGUACUUCUAAUAUUUUAGGCAUGAAUGGAGAUAAAAAUAGGAAUUUCAUGGUCUUCUUUCCUCCACAUUUGUUCUUAUUACUUAUCAAUGUCUUCAAUAACUCUUGUUAUUUUUUUAAUAUCAUAUAAAUUUUUUGGUUAGCCUUUUAAUAUUUCUCUAAUUAUAAUUUUCUUUUAUUAAAUCCUUAGAUAAAAAAUAGAUAAAGAUAUCAUUUGUAAAAAAUAUUUCUAUAAAAUUAGUAUUUAUUAAUUCAAACUACCUAAUAUAUAUAGUGAUUUUUCUUCUGUUUCCUUAUCUCAAAGAAGAAAGGAUUGUAUAGCAUUACUUUGCUCCAUUUUUGGUCUAAAUUUUUCUAAAAAUGCUCUCAUAGCAUGUUUUAAUUUUUAAAGGUUUAAAGAUUAUGGUUUUUAUACCAUUUGUAGCCUCUAUCUUUCA